GCAAACUUGGUCAUUUAGAGGAAGUAAAAGUCGUAACAAGGUAACCGUAGGUGAACCUGCGGUUGGAUCAUUACUAAUUUUAUUUCUAUAUUUUUUUCCCACUUUUUCUCUAUCCUAUCUCUCUCUCUCUCUCACGGGAGGGAGGGGAGGAAAAAAGAAAAAGAAAAAAAAAAUAUAUGAUAAACACCAUUGCGAACCUUCGUAAUUGUUUUUUUUUGGUGGGUGCUUUUUCUCCCCACCAAAAGCCGAAAAACUUUUUCCCAUUCUUGGGGGGGAGUUUUUCGAUUCUCAAACCCAACAACUUAUUAUUUUUUUAAGUCUUUUUAUUAUAUUUUUUAUUCAAGCCAAUUGAAGAAAACAACUUUUAACAACGGAUCUCUUGGCUCUCGCAUCGAUGAAGAACGCAGC
rnacentral:misc_RNA from 1 species